rnacentral:tRNA from 1 species
GGAGGGGUGCCCGAGUGGCUAAAGGGGGCAGACUGUAAAUCUGCUGGCGAACGCCUACGUUGGUUCAAAUCCAACUCCCUCCA